AGCGCAGGCGCUGGCGCGGAGAGGCGCAGGCCCAGGUCCACUCCCCAGCUGUGAAAGGAGGAGCUCUACGGUGACUUUGAAGACUUGGAAACAGGGGACAUGCACAAGGGAAAAUCGGGCCCCGACACUCAGAAUGAAGAUAUAGAGAAACAAGGAAGAAAUUGACCCCGACGAAGAAGAAAGUGCCAAGAAAAAGCAUUUGGAUAAGAAGAGAAAAUUGAAGGAGAUGUUUGAUGCGGAAUAUGAUGAAGGAGAAAGCACAUAUUUUGAUGAUCUUAAAGGAGAAAUGCAGAAAGAAGCACAGCUGAAUCACGUAGAAUUUGAAGAUCAAGAUGAUGAAGCCAGAGUUCAGUAUGAUGGUUUUCGACCUGGGAUGUACGUCCGCGUUGAGAUUGAAAAUGUUCCCUGUGAAUUUGUGCAGAACUUUGACCCCCAUUACCCCAUUAUCCUGGGUGGCUUGGGCAACAGCGAGGGAAAUGUUGGACACGUGCAGAUAUUGUCUUCAUGCGAACUUGGUAUCCUGUUUCCAUCCCAGCCUUCUAUAACCCAGUAACAUCUUUGUUGAAACCAGUGGGUGAGAAAGACACCUGGUCAGGAAUGUGGACCACGGGCCACCUCGGGCUCGCCCAUGGUGUCAGACUAAAGACAAACAAGGACUCUCUGUAUAAGGUACUGGUCGUGUGUGUGUUAGUGGAGAUGAAGCCUGUGCCCUACAGACAGGGAGUCACGCAGACACUUUUCUAUAAUUUCUUACGUACUUUGAAUGUUCAAGUAUAAAGUCUAAUGUUAAAUUUGAUUGAACAAUUGUAUAUUUGUGGGAUAUUUUGGAAUGGAACACCAAAAAAUGGUAAUAGUGGUUCUUUCUGGAUUGAAGACAAACUUUUCUUUUUUAAAAUAAAUUUUAUUUUAUAUAUUUGA
ensembl:lncRNA novel transcript